AUUCUGUGAUAAGGGCACUCUGUAAUAAUUCUUUGUACCUUUCCCAUGCCUCAUGUAAGGACACUUCAUCCAUUUGUUGGAAAGCAGUGAUCUCGUUCCUCAACUU
rfam:Gossypium raimondii Chr09_contig_1537, whole genome shotgun sequence.